rnacentral:misc_RNA from 1 species
CCAAUUUAAUCCAAAUCCCAACCCAUGUGCACGAUGAUUGUUUGUCCUUGGGGUGAUGUUUUAUGUUCGUGGUAUUGCAUUUGUAAUACUCUCGCAGCGUAGAAUAGUUACCCCGCCAUUGUUAACAAAAUCCUUUUAUUAGUAUUGGAAUCUCUGUCUUGCUUAAUAAGUAUGA